UCUUAUACCAAUUUAAACAUGCAGCGCUUAGAAAUACCUUAAAUUUGAUCGUAUUCCUUGUCAUUCUGAAAAGUCUUGACUAGUAUAUUCAGCGACAAUAAAGUUCCAAAAAAACACGGUGCAUGGUGAACAAAAAACGUGUGUAUUUAAAACAAUGUCUUUAUCUCUCUAUAAAAAAGUAAAAUCACAAUAAUACUGAACUUCGAGGAAAAUCAAUUCGGAAAGUCCAUUAAUCAAAUGGCAAAAUCAAAUAACAAAACGCAUAAAAAACGAAUGGACAAGAACUGUCAUUUUCCUGACUUGGUACAGGCAUUUUCAAAUGUUGAAAAUGGUGGAUUAAACCUGGUUUUAUAGCGCUAACCCUCUCACUUUUGAUGACAGUCUCGUCAAAUUCCGUUAUAUUUACAUUGAUGCGUUAACUAAACAGACACAAUAAAUAAAAUAGUCAAAAUAUAGGUACAUCAGUCAUCAUCGUAUAACAAUUUUAAAAGGGAAAAUUUAACAGAACACAAAAACAUCUAUCUACAAACACAUUCCUUGAUUUGUGUGUCUGACGUCAGAAUUUUUUUCAUACGUCACAUAAAUUUGUCGUUCAAUGUGCAUGCAAACAAUUUUAAAAUUUACAUAGGCAAUGUUAGCAUGUAGGGUUAAUAAAUCAAAAGUAUGUAAGAAUAAAUAUCAGAAAUAGACCGAGAU
rnacentral:lncRNA from 1 species